AUGCACUGCUGGAUCGCCAUGGCAUCCUCAGAACUGAUGUUUUUCAAAACAAAGAGUUAUUCAACAUGCUUGAAGCUUUUUCUGUUCGAUUUGGUGCAGGAGGAUGCCCGAGCUGACCAGGAGGACACCCUUCUACACCUCGGCCACCACAGAAGUUCCAUUGGCUCCUACUUCAAACAGGUCUAUAACAAGUUAACACCUAGAGAGGCUCGAGCUAUCAGCAGUGAGCUGUUGCUGCUGCCGCUGGAUGCUCCAGCGGCGAAACCUCCGUCGAUUCCCUCCAUGGCCACUACCACUACCCUAGCUACCGCCGUCGACGAAACCACCACCAUAUCCUCGCUCGGCCAAGAUCAGCUCCUUUAG
rnacentral:rRNA from 1 species